rnacentral:rRNA from 1 species
CCUACGGGUGGCAGCAGUGAGGAAUAUUGGUCAAUGGCCGCAGGGCUGAACCAGCCAAGUCGCGUGAGGGAUGACGGUCCUAUGGAUUGUAACCCUCUUUUGUCAGGUAGCAAAGAGCGCCACGUGUGGCGUUUUGCGAGUACCUGAAGAAAAAGCAUCGGCUACCUCCGUGCCGGCAGCCGCGGUAAUACGGAGGAUGCGCGCGUUGUCCGGGUUUAGUGGGUUUAAAGGGUGCGCAGGCGGAAUGUCAAGUCAGCGGUAAAAUUUCGGGGCUCAACCCCGUCGUGCCGUUGAAACUGGCGUUCUUGAGUGAGCGAGAAGUAUGCGGAAUUCGUGGUGUAGCGGUGAAAUGCAUAGAUAUAACGCAGAACUCCGAUUGCGAAGGCAGCAUACCGGCGCUUAACUGACGCUGAUGCACGAAAGCGUGGGUAUCGAACAGGAUUAGAUACCCUAGUAGUC